rnacentral:rRNA from 1 species
AUUGAACGCUGGCGGCAUGCUUUACACAUGCAAGUCGAACGGUAACAGGCCUUCGGGUGCUGACGAGUGGAGAACGGGUGAGUAAUGCAUCGGAACGUGCCCAGAGGUUGGGGAUAACGCAGCGAAAGCUGUGCUAAUACCGCAUGUGAUCUGAGGAUGAAAGCGGGGGACCAGGCAGCAAUGUUUGGCCUCGCGCCUUUGGAGCGGCCGAUGUCGGAUUAGGUAGUUGGUGGGGUAAAGGCCUACCAAGCCGACGAUCUGUAGCUGGUCUGAGAGGACGACCAGCCACACUGGGACUGAGACACGGCCCAGACUCCUACGGGAGGCAGCAGUGGGGAAUGUUGGACAAUGGGCGCAAGCCUGAUCCAGCAAUGCCGCGUGCGGGAAGAAGGCCUUCGGGUUGUAAACCGCUUUUGUACGGAACGAAAAGGCUCUGGCUAAUACGUGGGGCUGAUGACGGUACCGGAAGAAUAAGCACCGGCUAACUACGUG